UAUGCUAUAACUUCUCGUAUUCUAUCUUUGGCUAAAAAUGAAUUUUGUAGAACACUACUAUAAACUAAAUAGAAUUCUUCUGUUAUGGCUCGGCUUGUGGCCUUAUGACACCUCAUUCUUGAAGAAGAUACAAAUUAUUUGUUUUGAAGCAACAUUCAUAUCGUUCUUAUUAUGUCAACUGAACGUGUUUCUGUUGAAAAACUGCAGUGCCGAACUUGUCAUGAAAGUACUCAUGUUUCUUUUUAUUACUAUUUUUUUUAUUGUACAAUACAAUGUAGGAGUGCUACUCACUGAUAGCUUCAAGUACAUCUUCAGUAGACUUCGUUACGAUUGGAAUAUGUUACAAAAUCAGAAAGAAUUUGACAUAAUACAAAAGUAUGCAGACCGGACAAGAUUCCAUACGAUCCUUUUUACACUUUUAGCUCUUUCUAUAAGCCUGGGAAUAAUCGUAUUAUGUUCUGUGCCAUCUCUACUUGAUAUAAUUAUACCACUGAAUGAAUCACGACCGUCAUGGUUACCAAUUGUAGCGGAAUACUUUGUUGAUCAACAAAGAUAUUUCUAUGCUAUUUUGAUACAUAUUUUCAUAGUCGUCUAUGCUGGCUCUAUGGCAAUUGCAUCCGUUGCAGGAAUGAUGCUAGGAUAUGUACUGCAUAAUUGCGCCAUCUUUAAAAUUGCAAGCUAUCGUAUAGAACACAUAUUUGAUGAAAAAAUAUUACAAAUGUCAAAAACUAUUGGACAAUAUGUGCUAUAUGAGAGAUUAAUUCAUGCCGUACAUCUUCAUCGCAGAGCUGUGGAGUUGGUAUUAAUAUGUUUGACCAAUGAUUUGAAUAAUAGUUUUUCGAGAAUAUGUUUCAUAAUGAUAAUAGUUGGAAUGUGUUGUAUACCUUUCAGUGUUUUUCAUUUCUUUUAUGUGCUGGCACCCUUAAACGACGUACUAGAACUAUUAUUGAGUUGCGGUGUGUUAAUUUUUCAGUUAUACUAUAUGUUUAUAAUAAAUUACGUUGGACAAGAUAUCAUAAACAUCAGCACAAAUGUUUUUCAUACAGCAUAUAAUACCGAAUGGUACGCUGCACCACUGUGGUUACAAAAAUUGAUAUUGGUUAUACUGCAGAGAAGCAGCCUCAAGAGUACUCUUAUAGCUGGAGGGAUAGUUGAUGCAUCGUUAGAAGGUUUUGCCAAGCUCAUGAGUAUGUCGAUGUCAUAUGUUAUGUUUCUGCGUUCUACGCGUUGAACUCAAUAAAAAAAUGAAUAAGAGGCUUUAUAAUCAUCAUAUAUCCGAAUUUGACUUAACUUAAGAAAGUACGUUAAACACACUUAUAUGUACUGUGUUGCAUAUAUCGUAUACUAAUAAAAUAAAUUUGAAGACUGAAUAUAUCACAAAUGUAUUAAUGUAUUAAUACCACCACAAUGUAUUAAUUAUAUCAAGCAAGAAAAUUUAUUUAGUAUAAUGUAUAUUCUUCACUCAUGUACAUUUAUUCUUCGGCGUAGACAUGCAAGAAUAAAAUUGUAGCGAAAUAUUCUGGUAAUUAGUACUGUGCAAUGUAAUGGACCGUAAUAUUUUUGUACUCGAGAAAGCAGAACAGUAAAAGCUUAUGUGUUGUGCAACAGAAAUGUAAUUAUGGCACCGUUGGAUGCUUUUACUUGGAUCGAUAGUCAUGUUGAACAUGACAGUCCAUGUUGAACGUGUGUCAAACAGCUAAUUAGAAUAAAUAUUAAUUUUAUAAAUUG
rnacentral:misc_RNA from 1 species